AUUUGUCUGGUUAAUUUCGAUAACGAACGAGACCUUAACCUGCUAACUAGAUUCUUUCAUCUUAUGAUUGUUAUCUUCUUAGAGGGACUAUGUAACAUAAAUACAUGGAAGUUUGAGGCAAUAACAGGUCAGUGAUGCCCUUAUAUGUCCUGGGCUGCACGCGUGCUACACUGAUGUAUACAGCAAGUGCCGAGCCAGACAUGGCAUGGCAAUCUCGAAUAUGCAUCGUGAUGGGGAUAGAUCUUUGCAAUUAUAGAUCUUGAACGAGGAAUUCCUAGUAAGUGCAAGUCAUCAUCUUGCAUUGAUUAUGUCCCUGCCCUUUGUACACACCGCCCGUCGCUCCUACCGAUACCGGGUGAUCCGGUGAACCUUUUGGACCCGCAUGGGGAAGAUAAGUAAACCAUAUCACCUAGAGGAAGGAGAAGUCGUAACAAGGUUUCCGUAGGUGAACCUGCRGAAGGAUCA
rnacentral:rRNA from 1 species